GACGAACGCUGGCGGCGUGCUUAACACAUGCAGGUCGAACGGUAAGGCCCUUCGGGGUACACGAGUGGCGAACGGGUGAGUAACACGUGGGUGAUCUGCCCUGCACUUCGGGAUAAGCCUGGGAAACUGGGUCUAAUACCGGAUAGGACCCUGGGAUGCAUGUCCUGGGGUGGAAAGCUUUUGCGGUGUGGGAUGGGCCCGCGGCCUAUCAGCUUGUUGGUGGGGUGAUGGCCUACCAAGGCGACGACGGGUAGCCGGCCUGAGAGGGUGACCGGCCACACUGGGACUGAGAUACGGCCCAGACUCCUACGGGAGGCAGCAGUGGGGAAUAUUGCACAAUGGGCGCAAGCCUGAUGCAGCGACGCCGCGUGAGGGAUGACGGCCUUCGGGUUGUAAACCUCUUUCAGCACCGACGAAGCGCAAGUGACGGUAGGUGCAGAAGAAGGACCGGCCAACUACGUGCCAGCAGCCGCAGUAA
rnacentral:rRNA from 1 species